rnacentral:rRNA from 1 species
AUACGGAGGAUGCAAGCGUUAUCCGGAUUUAUUGGGUUUAAAGGGUGCGUAGGCGGUUUGCUAAGCGGGAGGUGAAAUGCCGGCGCUCAACGUCGGAAGUGCCUCCCGAACUGGUGGACUGGAAUGCCUCGGCCGGGGGAGGAAUGUGAAGUGUAGCGGUGAAAUGCUUAGAGAUUACACAGAACACCGAUUGCGAAGGCAUCUCACGAAGGGUUGAUUGACGCUGAGGCACGAAAGCGUGGGGAUCAAACAGGAUUAGAUACCCUGGUAGUCCACGCAGUAAACGAUGAUGGCUAACCGCUGGGCUUAUCAGUUCAGUGGCCAAGCGAAAGCGAUAAGCCAUCCACCUGGGGAGUACGACCGCAACGGUGAAACUCAAAUGAAUUGACGGGG